AUGAACGCUAGCGGCAGGCUUAACACAUGCAAGUCGAGGGGCAGCGAGAUUGAAGCUUGCUUCAAUUGUCGGCGACCGGCGGACGGGUGCGUAACGCGUAUGCAACCUACCCAUAACAGGGGGAUAACACUGAGAAAUUGGUACUAAUACCCCAUAACAUCUCGAGUGGCAUCACUUGGGGUUGAAAGCUUCGGUGGUUAUGGAUGGGCAUGCGUUGUAUUAGCUAGUUGGUGAGGUAACGGCUCACCAAGGCGACGAUACAUAGGGGGACUGAGAGGUUAACCCCCCACAUUGGUACUGAGACACGGACCAAACUCCUACGGGAGGCAGCAGUGAGGAAUAUUGGUCAAUGGACGGAAGUCUGAACCAGCCAUGCCGCGUGCAGGAUGACGGCUCUAUGAGUUGUAAACUGCUUUUGUACGAGGGUAAACCCGAAUACGUGUAUUCGGCUGAAAGUAUCGUACGAAUAAGGAUCGGCUAACUCCGUGCCAGCAGCCGCGGUAAUACGGAGGAUCCAAGCGUUAUCCGGAUUUAUUGGGUUUAAAGGGUGCGUAGGCGGUUAGAUAAGUUAGAGGUGAAAUUCCGGUGCUUAACACCGGCGCUGCCUCUAAUACUGUUUGACUAGAGAGUAGUUGCGGUAGGCGGAAUGUAUGGUGUAGCGGUGAAAUGCUUAGAGAUCAUACAGAACACCGAUUGCGAAGGCAGCUUACCAAGCUAUAUCUGACGUUGAGGCACGAAAGCGUGGGGAGCAAACAGGAUUAGAUACCCUGGUAGUCCACGCAGUAAACGAUGAUAACUCGUUGUCGGCGAUACAAUGUCGGUGACUAAGCGAAAGCGAUAAGUUAUCCACCUGGGGAGUACGUUCGCAAGAAUGAAACUCAAAGGAAUUGACGGGGGCCCGCACAAGCGGAGGAACAUGUGGUUUAAUUCGAUGAUACGCGAGGAACCUUACCCGGGCUCAAACGACAGCGGACAGCUCCUGAAAGGGAGUCUCCGGCAACGGCCGCUGUCGAGGUGCUGCAUGGUUGUCGUCAGCUCGUGCCGUGAGGUGUCGGCUUAAGUGCCAUAACGAGCGCAACCCCUACCGUUAGUUGCCAUCAGGUAAAGCUGGGCACUCUAGCGGGACUGCCGGUGUAAGCCGAGAGGAAGGUGGGGAUGACGUCAAAUCAGCACGGCCCUUACGUCCGGGGCUACACACGUGUUACAAUGGUAGGUACAGAGGGCAGCUACCCUGCGAAGGGAUGCGAAUCUCGAAAGCCUAUCUCAGUUCGGAUUGGAGGCUGAAACCCGCCUCCAUGAAGUUGGAUUCGCUAGUAAUCGCGCAUCAGCCAUGGCGCGGUGAAUACGUUCCCGGGCCUUGUACACACCGCCCGUCACACCAUGAGAGUCGGUAACACCCGAAGCCGGUGGCCUAACCGCAAGGAAGGAGCUGUCUAAGGUGGGACUGAUGAUUGGGGUG
rnacentral:rRNA from 1 species